rnacentral:tRNA from 1 species
GGGGGCGUAGCUCAGUUUGGCAGAGCGCGGGCUUUGCAAGCCUGAGGUCAGGGGUUCGAACCCCCUCGCCUCCACCA